ensembl:lncRNA
AUGAAGCACCUUGGAGUUCACAUACUGGUGAUUGUGCCAGACAAUGAGUAAUAAAAUAGGUAAGAAUGGCUGUGGGGAGGCUGGGCAUGGUGGCUCACACUUGUAAUCAUGUUGGUAGGCUAAGGCGGGCAGAUCCCUUGAGGUCAGGAAUUGAAAAUCAGCCUGGCCAACAUGAUGAAACCCCAUCUCUACUAAAAAUACAAAAAAAUUAGCGGGGCAGGCACCUAUAAUCUCAGCUACUCAGGAGGCUGAGGCAGAAUGGCUUGAACCAGGGAGGCAGAGGUUACAGUGAGCUGAGAUUGGGCCACUGCACUUUAGCCUGGCCAACAGAGUGAGACUCAGUCUCAGAGAAUGACUGUGGGGAAGUCGGCUGGGUUCUAGUUACAGUCACAUUUCAGGAAAGAAUUUAACAUGCUGACUUUCACGAACUAAGUGUUUUCUCCGUGUGUGCACGCAGGGUAGACCUCUGAAGAGUAGUGCUGUAACUUCUAGGGUAAUGGUUGUGAGUCAAGGCAGGAUGACAGUUCAGCCUCCUUCUAGGCUAGUGCAAAGGGCUCUUCACUCGGAUUAAAGCCUUCUCCCCCAGACUGAAUUGCCCACUCCCCAAAACCUCUCCUACAGAAAAUUUGGAGUCCUCGUUUAUUCCCUGACAGCUCCUUCCUAAUUGGGUGGUGAAUUAAUUAUCAAACAUGCAACAAAAGAUAUCAAAAGUUUAGCGAAAAUGGCGACAUUUUGGAAUAAAUGACUGUAAUGUACGUCCUGCCUGCCACCCUAACUGGCGCACGUUUUGCAGGUCAGUUGCUCUCCCUGGAAGCAGUAUGGCCAAGAGGAGGAAGAGUAUCUCUCGGAUUUCAGCUUGGAGGAGGCAGUUCAGGCUGCCAGAAUGGGACUAGCACUUCUGAAUAUCCCGAGAUGUCAGCUCCGCCUCAGGAAUCGACUGAGACUUUGACCCAGACUUUGGUUCCAUUCCUGGACACGGAUUCAGCUGGAGAGCUGCCCCCGGGGCCAGAGCAGUUAGCGGCUGCACACCAGGAUCUGGAUGACUCCCAGAGGUGGUUCCAAUGCUGAACUGGGAUCAGAAUCAGACCCUAGCUCGGCCUCUUCGCCUCAAAAGUAAGGUUCAAACUGCAGAUCUAGCUCAGGCUGCAGAUCAUCAGGCAGAUUAAAUUCUUUACUUCUUCCACCUCUAGAUAGUCAGAAUUCAGGCAGGGCGCGGUGGGUUACACCUGUAAUCCCAGCACUUUGGGAGGCCAAGGCGGGCGGAUCACGUGGUCAGGAGAUCGAGACCAUCCUGGAUAACACGGUGAAACACCGUCUCUACUAAAGAUACAGAAAAUUAGCAGGGCGUGGUGGCACGCACCUGCACUUACUCAGAAGGCUGACGCAGGAGAAUCGCUUGAACCGGGAGGUGGAGGUUGCAGUGAGCCGAGAUCACACCACCGCACUCCAGCCUGGGUGACAGAGCGAGACUGUCUCAAUAAAUAAAUAAAUAAAUAAAUAAAUAAAUAAAUAAAUAAACUUUAAAAAUAAAAUAAAAUAAAUAAGAAUUCAAAAGCAACCAAGUUUACUGUUGCCCAAGAACCUGAAGAAAGAUCUAGCUAAGCAUUGGAAGCUUGCUAAGGUUGUUGUUGGAACUCCACAUCUAUUUGUAUCAAAACUUCAGUGUCAGAAACAAACUUUGCAGGAUGAGUAUUUGGAUUCAAAUAUGGAUAUACUGUAUCCGGGCAGCCUGCCUCCAGAACUCCGGGUGAACUCAGAUGAGCCUCCAGGGCCUCCUGAGCGAGUCAGUCUUUCUCAACUCCGUCUAGAGCCCGAAACUCAAAAUCCAGAGACCCUUGAAGGGAUCCAGUCCUCUUCACUCCAGGAAGAAGCCCCAGAGCAGCUUCCACAGCUCCCUGAGGAGGGAGAACCUUCUUCAACCCAGCAGGAGGCCCCAGCUCUGCCCUGAGGGGGUCCACUCUUCUUCAACAGAGCGGGAGGCCCCAGCACAGCAGUGACCUGCCUCUGAAGAGAUGGUAGCUCUGCCAUUGAUACAUCAUGAGGUAAAUGUUCCAUUGAAAAGUUGGAGUGAAGCUCAGCACUGACACUUGCCCAGUGUCACAGUCAAACCUGUGGGUGUGGAGCUUGUGGUAACUCCAGAGCCAGGUAAGGAACUUACAUCAAGCCAGGAACAGGCCACUGCUCAGCCUCCAGAGCACACCAAGGAGAUGGACUCUUCCUCAACACAAUUAGAGGCUCCAGCUCGGACACCAGAGUGCCCUAAGGAGAGGAAACCCUCUGCAACCCAGCAAGGGACCCCAGCUGAGCCUCCAGAUCCUCCUGUGGAGGCUGAACUUUCCCCCAGUGAGCAAGCAGGAGCAGCCAGCUCAGCCUUCUGAGUUUCUUGUGGGGGCUGGGGGGUUGAACCUUCUGAGACCCAGCAGGAGGCCCCCGCUCAUCCUCCAGAGUCCUCUACAGAGAGUGCAGCUCAAACUCCACCAAAUCAUGAGGUGACAGUUCACCCUCCAGGUGAGGAUCAAGCUCAUUCUAACUUGCCCAGCAUUACAGCGUUACAGUGAAACCUGCAGAUGUGGAGAUCAUAACUUCAGAGCCUAUCGAGGAGGCAGCAUCUUCUCCAUCCCAGCAGGAGAUCCCAACCCAGCCUCCAGAGGAGGUGGAACCUUCUGCAACCAAGAAGGAGGCCCCAACUGAGCCUCCAGGUCCUCCUAUGGAGUGUGCACCUUCCCCCAGUGAGCAGGAAGAGCCAGCUGAGCCUUCUGAGUUUCCUGGGAGGUUGAACAUUCUGAGGCCCAGCAAGAGCCUCCAACUCAGCUUCCAGAGUCCUCUAUGGAGAGUGGAGCUCAAACUCCACUGAAUCAUGAGGUGACAAUUCAACCUCCAGGUGAAGAUCAACCUCCUUUUAACUUGUCCAGUGUUACAGUUAAACUUGUGGAUGUGUAGGUUACCAUAACUUCAGAGCCUACCAAGGAGACUGAAUCUUCCAAAGCCCAGCAGGAGGCCCCAGCUCAGCCUCCAGAGGAGUGGAACCUUCUGUAAGCCAGGAGGAGGCCCCAACUGAGCCUCCGGAUCCUCCUGUGGAGCCUGAACUUUCCGCCAGUAAGCAGAAGCAGCUAGCUCAGCCUUCUAUGUCUUCUGGGAAGGCUGAAUCUUCUCCAGCCAGCAGGAGGCCCCAGCUCAGCCUCCAGCACAUCAUGAAGUGACAAUUUCACCUCCAGGUCACCACCAAGCUCAGCAUUCAGAUUUGCCCAAUGUCACUAUUAGGCCUCCAGACAUGCAGCUCACCAUAGCAACAGAGCUUACUGCAGAGGUAGGAACUUCUCCAAUCCACCAGGAGGCUACAGCUCAGCUCUCAGGGCCAGGUAAUGAUGUAGAACCUUCUGCACCACCCAGCAUGGGGGCCCAUCUCUGCCUCUAGAGUCAUCAGAAGACACUGGACCUUUAGCAGGUCAACAGGAGACUUCAGUUCAAUCUCCAGAACCUGUUAAUAAUGAGAACCCCUCUCCAACCCAGCAAGAGGCUGCAGCUGAGCAUCCACAGACCCCUGAGGAGGCUGAGUCUUCUCCAGCCCAGCGAGAAGCCCAACCUCAGACUCCAGAUCCCCCAAAGGAAGUAGAACCUUCUCCAGUCCAGCAAGAGUUCUCAGCUGAGCCACCAGAGCCCCCUAAGGGUUGAACCAUCUGCAACCCAGCAAGAAGCCUCAGGUCAUCCUCCAAAGUCCACCGAAGAGGUCAGUCCUCCACUGCAGCGGGAGAUACCAGCUCAGCCAUCAGAGCCACCUGAGAAGGUCGAACCAUCUCCAGUCCUACAGCAGACCCCAAUUCAGCUUUUAGAGCCACCUAAAGAGGUAGAAUCCUCUCCAGUCCAGCAGGCAGGCCCUGCUCAGUCCUCAGAGGCACCUGUGGUGGUAGAACCCUCUCAGACCCAGCAGAUGGCCCCAUCUUCACCUCCAGAGCUCCCUCAGGAGGUGGAACCAUCUCUUAACUCAGCAGGGGGUUCCAG